UGAAGACAGUGGCCAAGGAAGCAAAGUGUUAUUUAGUUUUUUUUCAGAGUGACUGGACUAGAAAGAUGGCUUUAAGAUGAAUGGACACUGAAGGAGAGUAAAACCUGCAGGAGGCAGUAACGCAACACUGGAUGCCAACUGCCGAUACAGCUACGGCAUUUAGCUGAGAGAAAGUGGAUACGACAGUUAGCUAGGGUUAGGCACCAAAACGACUAACGUUAGAGGAAAAAAUAUAUCAUGGUUUGGAUUAAAACACUCCCGAUGAACGAACACGCGUUUCCUGGGUUUAAAAUACUACAAUUAUAUUGUUAUAUUGGAUUAGAUUUUGCGUAACUUCCGGACGUAGCUGUAUCCCUUCUAGCCACAACCAGAUGAUCAUGGCCACCAAGUUUUUUUUGUAGCAUAGCUAACUUAGCUACACCUGAAGAUGUGUCAAUUAAUUUCAGGUGUUAAGGUUUUUGCAGAAAUGUGCCACCAUCAACAGUUAAUGUUGUGUUAUAUGUUAAUGUAAAGUUAGUGUUUGGGGGAUUUUGUGCAGCUGUAAAUAAUCAGUCAGACCUGGCCUCAGGAGAAAAGACGCUGAAACGUCAGUCAUUGGUGACAUUCAGAUCGGUGCUUACAUGGUGAGCCCUUCUUUUCAGUAACCCAGUAACAGAAACCCCUCCUGGCACGGUCAUUGAACUCAUUCCUGAACUGGGGCUUGUUUUGAGCUCUUGUUAAUGUGGGACCAACCGUAUGCUUGCACCAUGGAGGGAACCGGAUCAUUAACUGCAGUUUCAGCCAGAAUCAAUGGAGGCAACAGGCUGCUGCUGGGGUGGUCUGUCUGGAGAUGUGGAAACAUGACAGGGUGACUCCUCGGCCAAAAUGUCAUGCUGGUGAAGAAAAUCGAAGGAUCGUGAAUAUUAGCUACCGUGUAUUCCUCCAGUCCAAUGAAGUGACACUGUGCAAAACACGGCUGCAAAACAAAUACUUAACAUGUGUGAGAGAGAAACCUCUCGACAGUGACCAAGUACUUACUUCUCUCCCCUAAAACGACUUGGGUCCCAUGUUUUAUUCUUUUCCCCUGUCUGCAUGUUCAUGAUAUUACU